GAUGAACGCUGGCGGCGUGCCUAAUACAUGCAAGUCGAGCGAACAGACGAGGAGCUUGCUCCUCUGACGUUAGCGGCGGACGGGUGAGUAACACGUGGAUAACCUACCUAUAAGACUGGGAUAACUUCGGGAAACCGGAGCUAAUACCGGAUAAUAUAUUGAACCGCAUGGUUCAAUAGUGAAAGACGGUUUUGCUGUCACUUAUAGAUGGAUCCGCGCCGCAUUAGCUAGUUGGUAAGGUAACGGCUUACCAAGGCAACGAUGCGUAGCCGACCUGAGAGGCUGAUCGGCCACACUGGAACUGAGACACGGUCCAUACUCCUACGGGAGGCAGCAGUAGCGAAUCUUCCGCAAUGGGCGAAAGCCUGACGGAGCAACGCCGCGUGAGUGAUGAAGGUCUUCGGAUCGUAAAACUCUGUUAUUAGGGAAGAACAAAUGUGUAAGUAACUAUGCACGUCUUGACGGUACCUAAUCAGAAAGCCACGGCUAACUACGUG
rnacentral:rRNA from 1 species